UAGGUGGCAAGCGUUAUCCGGAUUUAUUGGGUGUAAAGGGUGCGUAGGCGGGCUGUUAAGUCAGCGGUAAAAUGUCGGGGCUCAACCCCGGCCGGCCGUUGAAACUGGCGGUCUUGAGUGAGCGAGAAGUAUGCGGAAUGCGUGGUGUAGCGGUGAAAUGCAUAGAUAUCACGCAGAACUCCGAUUGCGAAGGCAGCAUACCGGCGCUCAACUGACGCUGAGGCACGAAAGCGUGGGGAUCAAA
rnacentral:rRNA from 1 species